rnacentral:rRNA from 1 species
UGGGGAAUAUUGGACAAUGGGGGCAACCCUGAUCCAGCAAUGCCGCGUGUGUGAAGAAGGUUUUCGGAUUGUAAAGCACUUUCGACGGGGACGAUGAUGACGGUACCCGUAGAAGAAGCCCCGGCUAACUUCGUGCCAGCAGCCGCGGUAAUACGAAGGGGGCUAGCGUUGCUCGGAAUGACUGGGCGUAAAGGGCGUGUAGGCGGUUUGUACAGUCAGAUGUGAAAUCCCCGGGCUUAACCUGGGAGCUGCAUUUGAUACGUGCAGACUAGAGUGUGAGAGAGGGUUGUGGAAUUCCCAGUGUAGAGGUGAAAUUCGUAGAUAUUGGGAAGAACACCGGUGGCGAAGGCGGCAACCUGGCUCAUAACUGACGCUGAGGCGCGAAAGCGUGGGGAGCAAACAGGAUUAGAUACCCUGGUAGUCCACGCUGUAAACGAUGUGUGCUAGAUGUUGGGUAACUUAGUUAUUCAGUGUCGUAGCUAACGCGAUAAGCACACCGCCUGGGGAGUAC